rnacentral:rRNA from 1 species
AUGCAAGUCGAGCGGGGGAAGGUAGCUUGCUACCGGACCUAGCGGCGGACGGGUGAGUAAUGCUUAGGAAUCUGCCUAUUAGUGGGGGACAACAUCUCGAAAGGGAUGCUAAUACCGCAUACGUCCUACGGGAGAAAGCAGGGGAUCUUCGGACCUUGCGCUAAUAGAUGAGCCUAAGUCGGAUUAGCUAGUUGGUGGGGUAAAGGCCUACCAAGGCGACGAUCUGUAGCGGGUCUGAGAGGAUGAUCCGCCACACUGGGACUGAGACACGGCCCAGACUCCUACGGGAGGCAGCAGUGGGGAAUAUUGGACAAUGGGGGGAACCCUGAUCCAGCCAUGCCGCGUGUGUGAAGAAGGCCUUAUGGUUGUAAAGCACUUUAAGCGAGGAGGAGGCUACUUUAGUUAAUACCUAGAGAUAGUGGACGUUACUCGCAGAAUAAGCACCGGCUAACUCUGUGCCAGCAGCCGCGGUAAUACAGAGGGUGCGAGCGUUAAUCGGAUUUACUGGGCGUAAAGCGUGCGUAGGCGGCUUAUUAAGUCGGAUGUGAAAUCCCCGAGCUUAACUUGGGAAUUGCAUUCGAUACUGGUGAGCUAGAGUAUGGGAGAGGAUGGUAGAAUUCCAGGCGUAGCGGUGAAAUGCGUAGAGAUCUGGAGGAAUACCGAUGGCGAAGCAGCCAUCUGGCCUAAUACUGACGCUGAGUACGAAAGCAUGGGGAGCAAACAGAUUAGAUACCC